GGUAUGUGGCUUAAGCGGUAGAGCGCUCGCCUGGCAUGCGUGGGGCACUGGGUUCGAUCCUCAGCACCA
rnacentral:tRNA from 1 species